rnacentral:rRNA from 1 species
UACAGAGGGUGCAAGCGUUGUUCGGAAUUAUUGGGCGUAAAGGGCGCGUAGGCGGUGCGGUAAGUCUGUAGUGAAAUCUCUGGGCUCAACUCAGAGUCUGCUGCAGAAACUGCCGUGCUUGAGUGUGGGAGAGGUGAGUGGAAUUCCCGGUGUAGCGGUGAAAUGCGUAGAGAUCGGGAGGAACACCUGCGGCGAAAGCGGCUCACUGGACCAUAACUGACGCUGAUGCACGAAAGCUAGGGGAGCAAACAGG